CCUACGGGUGGCAGCAGUGAGGAAUAUUGGUCAAUGGGCGGGAGCCUGAACCAGCCAAGUCGCGUGAGGGAAGACGGUCCUAUGGAUUGUAAACCUCUUUAGGCGGGGAGCAAUGCCGGGCACGUGUGCCCGGAGGGAGAGUACCCGCAGAAUAAGCAUCGGCUAACUCCGUGCCAGCAGCCGCGGUAAUACGGAGGAUGCGAGCGUUAUCCGGAUUUAUGGGGGUUAAAGGGUGCGUAGGCGGAUUUUUAAGUCAGCGGUAAAAUGUCCGGGCUCAACCCGGGCCGGCCGUUGAAACUGGGGAUCUUGAGUGGGCGAGAAGUAGGCGGAAUGCGUGGUGUAGCGGUGAAAUGCAUAGAUAUCACGCAGAACUCCGAUUGCGAAGGCAGCAUACCGGCGCCCAACUGACGCUGAAGCACGAAAGCGUGGGUAUCGAACAGGAUUAGAUACCCUUGUAGUC
rnacentral:rRNA from 1 species